AAUGUCUUGGCCAUGCAGCUUUUUCCUGCAUAGGUGACAACAACUGAGAAAAUCUGAAGUUGGGUAAGCAACCUCUUCCACAAAUCUUGGUGCUGGAGCUGGGGUUUCACAGUUACUUUUUCUCCUUUCUUCACCUCCAUCAUAAAACACCUUUGUAGACGACUUGCCAGAUCCAUGGGUAGUCACAUACGUAAAAUCCUCUAAGCUUUCCAUCUCUAAAUUCUUCCCACCAGAUUUCACAACAAUUACAUUUGAGCUACAAAUAGUAUGCCUGCAGGAAU
rnacentral:lncRNA from 1 species